AUUUUACGCAUAGGUUCUCGUGAGACAGCAUUCGUACAAGCUCUAACUGCAGCCAGUGUGAUGAUGGAGAUUGCAAAGGCUUGCGUGACACAGAAAAUAAAAUACUGUGGCUGUGGUGCUUUGCGUCGACGAGACAGAAACGAUGUCUCAAUCCUAGAUGGUUGUGGAGACAACAUAAAUUUUGGCGCUUACUUGGCUGCAAAUUUUAUGGAUCCAAAGCGGACAAAGACUCAUCCGAAGAAAACAAAACGCCAUAACCAAAUAGUUGGAAGAAAG